rnacentral:rRNA from 1 species
UCCGACCUCAGAUCGGACGAGAUUACCCGCUGAAUUUAAGCAUAUAACUAAGCGGAGGAAAAGAAACUAACA